AGCGAACAGACGAGGAGCUUGCUCCUCUGACGAUUAGCGGCGGACGGGUGAGUGACACGUGGAUAACCUACCUAUAAGACUGGGAUAACUUCGGGAAACCGGAGCUAAUACCGGAUAAUAUAUUGAACCGCAUGGUUCAAUAGUGAAAGACGGUUUUGCUGUCACUUAUAGAUGGAUCCGCGCCGCAUUAGCUAGUUGGUAAGGUAACGGCUUACCAAGGCGACGAUGCGUAGCCGACCUGAGAGGGUGAUCGGCCACACUGGAACUGAGACACGGUCCAGACUCCUACGGGAGGCAGCAGUAGGGAAUCUUCCGCAAUGGGCGAAAGCCUGACGGAGCAACGCCGCGUGAGUGAUGAAGGUCUUCGGAUCGUAAAACUCUGUUAUUAGGGAAGAACAAAUGUGUAAGUAACUAUGCACGUCUUGACGGUACCUAAUCAGAAAGCCACGGCUAACUACGUGCCAGCAGCCGCGGUAAUACGUAGGUGGCAAGCGUUAUCCGGAAUUAUUGGGCGUAAAGCGCGCGUAGGCGGUUUUUUAAGUCUGAUGUGAAAGCCCACGGCUCAACCGUGGAGGGUCAUUGGAAACUGGAAAACUUGAGUGCAGAAGAGGAAAGUGGAAUUCCAUGUGUAGCGGUGAAAUGCGCAGAGAUAUGGAGGAACACCAGUGGCGAAGGCGACUUUCUGG
rnacentral:rRNA from 1 species